rnacentral:tRNA from 1 species
GCAUCCAUAGCUCAACUGGAUAGAGCGUCUGACUACGGAUCAGAAGGUUGUGGGUUCGACCCCUGCUGGGUGCGCCA